AAUGAACGUUGGCGGCAUGGAUUAGGCAUGCAAGUCGAGCGAGAAGUGUAGCAAUACACGGAAAGCGGCGGAAGGGAGAGUAAUACGUGGGAAUCUGCCCUUAGACCUGGGAUAGCAGCGGGAAACUGCUGGUAAUACCAGAUAAUGUCUAUGGACCAAAGGUGUGAUUCCGUCUAGGGAUGAGCCCACGUCCUAUUAGCUAGUUGGUAGGGUAAUGGCCUACCAAGGCGUUGAUGGGUAGCGGGUGUGAGAGCAUGACCCGCCUCACUGGGACUGAGACACUGCCCAGACACCUACGGGUGGCUGCAGUCGAGAAUCUUCGGCAAUGGGCGCAAGCCUGACCGAGCGAUGCCGCGUGCGGGAUGAAGGCCUUCGGGUUGUAAACCGCUGUCGAGGGGUAGCAACUUCCAUAGAGUUAUCUUUAUGGAUUGAGUGAUCCCUGGAGGAAGGACGGGCUAAGUUCGUGCCAGCCGCCGCCGUAACAC
rnacentral:rRNA from 1 species